rnacentral:rRNA from 1 species
CAGCAGUGGGGAAUAUUGCACAAUGGGGGAAACCCUGAUGCAGCGACGCCGCGUGAAGGAAGAAGUAUCUCGGUAUGUAAACUUCUAUCAGCAGGGAAGAAAAUGACGGUACCUGACUAAGAAGCCCCGGCUAACUACGUGCCAGCAGCCGCGGUAAUACGUAGGGGGCAAGCGUUAUCCGGAUUUACUGGGUGUAAAGGGAGCGUAGACGGAAGAGCAAGUCUGAUGUGAAAGGCUGGGGCUUAACCCCAGGACUGCAUUGGAAACUGUUUUUCUAGAGUGCCGGAGAGGUAAGUGGAAUUCCUAGUGUAGCGGUGAAAUGCGUAGAUAUUAGGAGGAACACCAGUGGCGAAGGCGGCUUACUGGACGGUAACUGACGUUGAGGCUCGAAAGCGUGGGGAGCAAACAGGAUUAGA